ensembl:lncRNA
UUCCAUUAUUUCCGUUAUUUCCUUUAUUUUCAAUGUAGUUCUUGGCCUGUCACCUAAUUUUCUGCCGUAUUUUUCUGUCUCUCUGUAGGUUAUUUCUGUUAUUUUCGAUAUUUUCGUUAUGAUUUACGUUAUUUCCGUUAUGAUGUCUGUUAUUUCCGUUAUUAUUUCCUUUUUUUUUUUAGUUAUUUCCGUUUUUUUCUGUUAUUUCCGUUGUUGUUCUUGACCAGUCACCUUAUUUUCUGCCGUAUGUUUCUGUCUCUCUGGAGGUUCUUUCCGUUAUUUCCGUUAUUUCCGUAUUUCCAUUAUUUCCGUUAUUUCUGUUAUUUCCAUUGUUGUUCUUGAGCUGUCACGUAAUUUUCUGCUGUACAUUUCUGUCUCUCUGGAAGUUAUUUCCGUUAUUUCCGUUAUUUCCGUUAUUUCCGUUAUUUCCAAUGUUGUUCUUGGCCUGUCACCUAAUUUUCUGCCGUAUGUUUACGACUCUCUGGUGGUUAUUUCCGUUAUUUUCAUUAUUUUCGUUAUUAUUUCCGUUAUUUCCGUUUUGAUUUCCGUUAUUUCCAUUAUGAUGUCCGUUAUUUCCGUUAUUAUUUCCGUUAUGAUUUCCGUUAUUUUGUUUUUUUCUAUUAUUUCCGUUGUUUUUCUGGACCUGUCUCUUAAUUCUCUGCCGUAUGUUUCUGUCUCUCUGGAGGUUAUUUCCGUUAUUCUCAUUAUUUCCGUUAUUUCUGUUAUGAUUUCCGUUAUUUCCGUUACUAUUUCCAUUAUUUCGUUUUUUUCUGUUAUUUCCGUUCUUGUUCUUGACCUGUCACCUAAUUUUGUUCUUUAUGUUUCUGUCUCUGUGGAGGUUAUUUCCGUUAUUUUCGUUAUUUCCGUUAUGAUGUUUGAUAUUUCAGUUAUCAUUUCCGUUAUUUCCGUUAUUAUUUCUGUUAUUUCAUUUUUUUCUGUUAUUUCCGUUUUUAUUCUUGACCUGUCACCUAACUUUCUGCCGUAUGUUUCUGUCUCUCUGGAGGUUAUUUCCGUUAUUUCCGUUAUUUUUGUACUUUCCGUUCUUUCCGUUGAUGUUCUUGACCUGUCAUGUAUGACCGUAUGUUUCUGUCUCUCUGGAGGUUAUUUCGGUUAUUUUUGAUAUUUCCGUUAUUUCCAAUCUUGUUCUUGGCCUGUCACCUAAUUUUCUGCUUUAUGGUUCUGUCUCUGUGGAGGUUAUUUCCUUUAUUUUCGUUUUUUUCCGUUAUGAUGUACGUUAUUUCUGUUAUGAUUUCCGUUAUUUAGGUUAUGAUUUCCGUUAUUUCGUUUUUUUCUGUUAUUUCCGUUUUUGUUCUUGACCUGUCACCUAACUUUCUGCCGUAUGUUUCUAUCUCUCUGGGGGUUAUUUCCGUUCUUUCCGUUAUUUCCGUUAUUUCCGUUAUUUUUGUUCUUUCCGUUCUUUCCGUUGAUGUUCUUGACCUGUCAUGUAAUUUUCUGCUCUGUAUUUCUGUCUCUCUGGAGGUUAUUUCCUUUAUUUCCGUUAUUACCAGUGUUGUUUUUGGCCUGUCACCUAAUUUUCUGUUGUAUUUUUCUGUCACUCUGAAUGUUAUUUCCGUUAUUUUCGUUAUUUCCGUUAUGAUUUACGUUAUUUCCGUUAUGAUGUCCGUUAUUUCCGUUACUAUUUACUUUAUUUUUUCCAUUAUUUCGUUUUUUUCUGUUAUUUCCGUUGUUGUUUUUGACCAGUCACCUAAUUUACUGCUGUAUGUUUCUGUCUCUCUGGAGGUUAUUUCCGUUAUUUUCGUUUUUUCCGUUCUGAUGUACGUUAUUUCUGUUAUGAUUUCCGUUAUUUAGGUUAUGAUUUCCAUUAUUUCGUUUUUUUCUGUUAUUUCCGGUUUUGUUCUUGACCUGUCACCUAACUUUCUGCCGUAUGUUUCUGUCUCUCUGGAGGUUAUUUCCGUUCUUUCCGUUCUUUCCGUUAUUUUUGUUCUUUCUGUUCUUUCCGUUGUUGUUCUUGACCUGUCACGUAACUUUCUGCUGUGUAUUUCUGUCUCUCUGGAGGUUAUUUCCGUUAUUUCCGUUAUUUCCGUUAUUUUUGUUGUUGUUCUUGACCUUUCACCUAAUUUUCUGCCAUAUGUUUCCAACUUUGUGGUGGUUAUUUCCGUUAUUUCUGUUAUUUCCGUUAUUUCCGUUGUUGUUCUUGACCUGUCACCUACUUUUCUGCCAUAUGUUUCUGUCUCUGUGGAGGUUAUUUCCUUUAUUUCAGUUAUUUCCGUUAUUUUCCUUACUUCCGUUAUUUUCAUUAUUUCAGUUAUUUUCGUUAUUUCCGUUGUUGUUUUUGGGCAGUCACCUAAUUUUCUGCCGUAUGUUUCUGUCUCUCUGGAGGUUAUUUCCUUUAUUUCCGUGAUUACCGUUGUUGUUUUUGCCCUGUCACCUAAUUUUCUGCCGUAUGUUUCUGUCUCUCUGGAGUUUAUUUCCGUUAUUAUUUCUGUUAUUUUCGUUAUGAUUUCUGUUAGUUCCGUUAUGAUUUCCGUAAUUUCCAUUAUGAUUUCUGUUAUUUCGGAUUUUCUGUUAUUUCCGUUUUUGUUCUUGACCUGACACCUAAUUUUCUGCCGUAUGUUUCUGUCUCUGUGGAGGUUAUUUCCGUUAUUUCCGUUAUUUCCGUUGUUUCCAUUAUUUCCAUUAUUUCAGUUAUUUCCAUUGUUGUUCUUGACCUGUCACGACAUUUUCUGCCAUAUGUUUCUGUCUCUGUGUAGUUUAUUUCCGUUAUUUCCAUUAUUUCCGUUAUUUUUGUUUUUUCCGAUAUUUGUGUCUCUGUAAAGGUUCUUUUCUUUUUUUCCGUUCUUUUUGUUCUUUCCGUUGUUGUUCUUGACCUGUCACCUAAUUUUCUGCUGUAUGUUUCUGUCGCUCUGCAGGUUUGUUCCAUUAUUUCCGUUAUUUCUGUUGUUCUUCUUGACUUGUCAUCGAAUUUUCUGCCGUAUGUUUCUGUCACUGUGGAAUUUAUUACUGUUCUUUCCGUUCUUUCCGUUCUUUCCGUUGUUGUUCUUGACCAGUCACCUAAUUUUCUGCCGUAUGUUUUUGUCUCUGUGGAGGUUAUUUCCGUUAUUUCUGUUAUUAUUUGCGUUAUUUCCGUUAUUUCCGUUAUUUCCAUUGUUGUUCUUGACCUGUCACCUA